rnacentral:lncRNA from 1 species
GCCGUGUUUAUUGAGCUACAAAUGUUCAUCUUUAUGUUCAGAAGAAGAAAAAUCCUAGCAGUACCUGGUCUGAUUUAGGCUACUUGGAUUCUGUGCACACCCUCAACCAGCAACAGUGGAAAUACUCAGAGUACUCUAACCACAGACUUGGCAUGAUCCAAAGUCUGGAGAAUGGACUAAGCCACCCCGGAACAGGUAGAAGGAAUGCCAUCGUGUCGGAAGAAUGGAAC